GCCUGGGUGGCUUAGUCGGUUGAGCGUCCGACUUCGGCUCAGGUCAUGAUCUCGCGGUCUGUGGGUUCGAGCCCCAUGUCGGGCU
rnacentral:tRNA from 1 species